rnacentral:rRNA from 1 species
CACGUAGGGGGCAAGCGUUGUCCGGAUUUAUUGGGCGUAAAGAGCUCGUAGGUGGUUCGGUAAGUCGGGUGUUAAACCCCCAGGCUCAACCUGGGGACGCCACUCGAUACUGCUGUGACUAGAGUCCGGUAGGGGAGCGUGGAAUUCCAGGUGUAGCGGUGAAAUGCGUAGAUAUCUGGAGGAAUACCGGUGGCGAAGGCGGCAUCCUGGACCGACAUUGACGCUGAUGAGCGAAAGCUAGGGGAGCAAACGGG